GACGAACGCUGGCGGCGUGCCUAACACAUGCAAGUCGAACGGGGUUAAGCCCUUCGGGACUUAACUUAGUGGCGAACGGGUGAGUAACGCGUGAGGAACCUGCCUUUCAGUGGGGGACAACAGUUGGAAACGACUGCUAAUACCGCAUAAUACUUUCGAGCGGCAUCGUUUGAAAGUCAAAGAUUUAUUGCUGAAAGAUGGCCUCGCGUCUGAUUAGCUGGUUGGUGAGGUAACGGCCCACCAAGGCGACGAUCAGUAGCCGGUCUGAGAGGAUGAACGGCCACAUUGGGACUGAGAUACGGCCCAGACUCCUACGGGAGGCAGCAGUGGGGAAUAUUGGGCAAUGGGGGAAACCCUGACCCAGCAACGCCGCGUGAAGGAAGAA
rnacentral:rRNA from 1 species